GAAAUGCGAUAAGUAAUGCGAAUUGCAGAAUCCGUGAGUCAUCGAAUCUUUGAACGCAUAUUGCGCCCUUUGGUAUUCCGAAGGGCAUGCCUGUUCGAGCGUCAUUAUCACCCCUCAAGCUCCGGCUUGGUGUUGGGCUUCAUGGUAGCUAUACCAUGGGCUUCAAAGAUAAUGACGGCGUCCCAGAUGGAGCCGGUACGAGGAGCUUUUAACCAAGCAUGUACGCGGCGUGAAUCUGCGGGCGACGGUCUUUAACCACUACUCUUCGGAGUAUUUUCUAAGUGUUGACCUCGGAUCAGGUAGGGAUACCCGCUGAACUUAA
rnacentral:misc_RNA from 1 species